UACGUAAGGACCGAGCGUUGUCCGGAAUCAUUGGGCGUAAAGAGCGUGUAGGCGGUUUGUUAAGUCAUGUGUGAAAUCCCUCGGCUCAACCGGGGAACGACGCAUGAAACUGGCAAGCUAGAGUACCAAAGAGGGGGGUGGAAUUCCCGGUGUAGUGGUGAAAUGCGUAGAUAUCGGGAGGAACACCAGUGGCGAAGGCGACUUUCUGGCCUGUUCUUGACGCUGAGGCGCGAAAGCUAGGGGAGCAAACGGG
rnacentral:rRNA from 1 species